rnacentral:misc_RNA from 1 species
AACACUUGAAACUCAUGAGCAUAACAUGAAAAUAUAAUACAACUAUUGAUCACAACUUGUUCACUAACUAGAAUUGCUUGUCACUAUGCAUGCGCUAACUUGGCCAAAAGUACCAUGUCUAAAAUUUUAACAUCAAGGGUAUCAUCCACCUUUACAAUCCCAUCAGUGCCAUCAACACCAAUAAGCUUGCCGGUUGCACCACGUUGAGGACCACCCAUUAUCUUGAUUUUAUCAGACUUCUUUGGUACAAUUAUAUCAAUUUCAGUUGGGUGCGCAAUGAUAGUGUCACCAUUGCCGCUUGAUCCAAGACCAACACUACAGGAACCAUCCGCUAACACCUCAUGGACAACUCCGAUGACAGUAUCAUCAUUGGACUUCCGUACAUUGACCAAGAUAUCAGGCAAGAGCCAAGGACCUUCUGUAUCCCCACCUCCUAUAGGUGACAUCAUAUCCAGCCCACCACUUCCAGGAGUCAUUGGCUGCCCACCAGGAGUACCAGGUAUAUAUGCUGAACUUGGUGUCAUUGGUGGUUGUCCACCAGGAGUUGAUGGCAAGUAAGGACUUGGAGCAUUAGCAUAUGCAGAACCAUUGUCUCUUGGGGUACCAGCAUCACUGUAAUUACCGCUAGGUGUAUUAGUCCAACCAGAACCAGGAGUAGGUGCUUCAUACGCCCUUGAACGAGGACUAGAUGGCUGAUAUUGCGGACUUGACCCCCAGGAAGCAGGGUUUCCAUCUUCCCAAUCACCCCCCCUGUCACUAGUUGGACUCAUUGGAUUCCAUGCUCUGUCACGCAUUGGCGUCCUCAUGCCAUCAUGGAUAGGUGUUGCUCCAGGAUCUCUCAUAGGUGUCAUAAAUGGGUGCAGUGGAGUCCUUGAAGGAUGUGAUGGUGUUUCACUUCCCAAACCAUAUCUAGAUGGUUCCCUGAACGGCACUGACACGUUAACAUUAUCAGAGAUAUGGUUGCGAUCAACUGUAACAACUUUCAUCUGGGCUUCAAGUUCAACUCGGACUGAAGUUCCUUUGAUAUCAACAACACGCCCUUUACAGCCUUUGAAUGGUCCAAGGCGAAUUUUCACGUCAGCUCCAACUAAAGCAUCGUGCCCUCGUCCACCUCUAUGUCUGCCUCCAUAACUCAUAGGUGGGCCACCUCUAGAUGAUCUCAUUGGAGAUUGAGGAGCACGUGGUGGAGGUCUCAUAUGCGCAAAUCUUGAUGACAUGGGGUUACCAUUUCUAUCACCAUUUGCCCGUGAGCCACCAAUCAACACACAAGAUUGGGUUUUGGCACAAAUAUAACCAGCAUGCUCAAGGUGAUGACGAUCAUAAAUAAAAACUACUCCUCUGAAGAUGUGUUCAACAGGACCUUGUUUUCCUUUACAAGGACCCUCGAGAACUUUUACCACGUCUUUCACCGCCAAGUGGUUCUUAUACCGAUCUUGGGCAUUUCCUUUCUUUUCAACUUUCGCUUUGAUCUCUCUAAGUCUAACAAGUGCUACUUCAGGUCUAUCAGGCACACCCUUAAGGACCUGGAAGGCUUCACUGUCUACACGAAUAAUCACACCAAAGCUCUUAUUGUCUAGAAUUACAAGAUCAUGGAGCUCAUAUUCCCCAAUACGAGUGAGACCAGAUGUUACUUCAGAACUCUCAACAACAUUAUCGGCAAAUACACGGAGAAGCUCCUUUGUUGUAUCAGAUACCAGGUUAACCACAUGUCCCUGAACAGAGACAACCAUACCGGUUGCACCUUCAGAUGAACCAGAUACUACUUUCACGUGAUUUCCAAGAUCAAAGUACUUGCAUAGCUCUUUGUCACUAAAAGCCAAAGUCAAAGGAAGGUCCUUCUGAUUUGGUCUGAUAUGAACAGUAUCUUCUUCGACUUUCUCAACAUGGCCUUUCAAGUUUCUGAGAUCCCCCUUCACCACAAUAACGCGGUCACCCUUCAUAAAAUGACCUUUUUUCCUAUUUGCAAACAAAGUAGAUAGACUAGCCAUAUCACCA